GCCCGGGUGGUGAAACUGGUAGACGCAGGGGACUCAAAAUCCCCCGCCGCAAGGCGUGUCGGUUCGAUUCCGACCCCGGGCA
rnacentral:tRNA from 1 species